rnacentral:rRNA from 1 species
AUUGAACGCUGGCGGCAUGCCUUACACAUGCAAGUCGAACGGCAGCACGGGUGCUUGCCCCUGGUGGCGAGUGGCGAACGGGUGAGUAAUACAUCGGAACAUGUCCUGUCGUGGGGGAUAGCCCGGCGAAAGCCGGAUUAAUACCGCAUACGAUCUACGGAGGAAAGCGGGGGACCUUCGGGCCUCGCGCCAUAGGGUUGGCCGAUGGCUGAUUCGCUAGUUGGUGGGGUAAAGGCCUACCAAGGCGACGAUCAGUAGCUGGUCUGAGAGGACGACCAGCCACACUGGGACUGAGACACGGCCCAGACUCCUACGGGAGGCAGCAGUGGGGAAUUUUGGACAAUGGGCGAAAGCCUGAUCCAGCAAUGCCGCGUGUGUGAAGAAGGCCUUCGGGUUGUAAAGCACUUUUGUCCGGAAAGAAAUCCUUGGCCCUAAUACGGUCGGGGGAUGACGGUACCGGAAGAAUAAGCACCGGCUAACUACGUG